UUAUAUGGUCAAGAAGAGAAGCGCAAACGGUGGAUGCCUUGGCAGUAAGAGGCGAAGAAGGACGUGGAAUCCUGCGAAAAGCUAUGGGGAGCUGGAAACGAGCGUUGAGCCAUAGAUGUCCGAAUGGGGGAACCCGGCUGCAGCGAUGCGGUCAUUUGCAUUUGAAUACAUAGGAUGCAAAGGCGAACUCGGGGAACUGAAACAUCUAAGUACCCGAAGGAAAAGAAAUCAAGAGAGAUUCUCCAAGUAGCGGCGAGCGAACGGGGAGGAGCCUGGCGUGAUUUAUUAUUGAACUGAGUAGAACAAUUUGGGAAAGUUGGCGAUAGAGGGUGAAAGCCCCGUAUACGAAGGUUUGAUGAGGAACUAGGCACGCGAACAAGUAGGCCGGGACACGUGAAAUCCUGGUUGAAGAUGGGUGGACCAUCAUCCAAGGCUAAAUACUACUUACUGACCGAUAGUGAACCAGUACCGUGAGGGAAAGGUGAAAAGAACCCCGGAGAGGGGAGUGAAAUAGAAUCUGAAACCGUUUGCGUACAAGCAGUGGGAGCAUGGUUUAGGCUGUGUGACUGCGUACCUUUUGUAUAAUGGGUCAGCGAGUUACUUUCAGUGGCGAGGUUAACUGCAUAAGGGAGCCGUAGAGAAAUCGAGUCUGAAUAGGGCGAUAGUCGCUGGGAGUAGACCCGAAACCGGGCGAUCUAGCCAUGUGCAGGAUGAAGGUUGGGUAACACCAACUGGAGGUCCGAACCGGGUAAUGUUGAAAAAUUAUCGGAUGACGUGUGGCUAGGAGUGAAAGGCUAAUCAAGCCCGGAGAUAGCUGGUUCUCCCCGAAAGCUAUUUAGGUAGCGCCUCGUGAAUGAUUACUGGGGGUAGAGCACUGUUUCGGCUAGGGGGCUGUCAUGGCUUACCAAACCGAUGCAAACUCCGAAUACCGGCUAAUUGAAUCACGGGAGACACACGGCGGGUGCUAACGUCCGUCGUGGAGAGGGAAACAACCCAGACCGCCAGCUAAGGUCCCCAAGUACUAGUUAAGUGGGAAACGAUGUGGGAAGGCAUAGACAGCCAGGAGGUUGGCUUAGAAGCAGCCACCCUUUAAAGAAAGCGUAAUAGCUCACUGGUCGAGUCGGCCUGCGCGGAAGAUGUAACGGGGCUAAAACUAGUCACCGAAGCUGCGGAUGUGCGCGAAGGCGCACGUGGUAGGGGAGCGUUCUGUAGGCUGAUGAAGGUGCAUUGAGAAGUGUGCUGGAGGUAUCAGAAGUGCGAAUGCUGACAUGAGUAACGAUAAUGUGGGUGAAAAGCCCACACGCCGGAAGUCCCAGGUUUCCUGCACGACGUUAAUCGGAGCAGGGUGAGUCGGCCCCUAAGGCGAGGCUGAAGAGCGUAGUCGAUGGGAACCAGGUUAAUAUUCCUGGACUUUUUAUAAGUGGUGAAGUGGGGACGAAGAAGGCUAGGUGAGCCAGGCGUUGGUUGUCCUGGUACUUGCAUGUAGGGGGGAAGACUUGGCAAAUCCGGUUUUCCAUAACUCUGAGGUGCGAAGUGGUUCUGACCUUUUGGUACAGAGAAGUCAUUGAUGCCCGGCUUCCAGGAAAAGCUGCUAGCCAUAACUUAUAGAGAACCGUACCGCAAACCGACACAGGUGGACAGGUAGAGAAUACUAAGGCGCUUGAGAGAACUCGGGUGAAGGAACUAGGCAAAAUGGUACCGUAACUUCGGGAGAAGGUACGCCCUUUCUGGUGAUGGGAUUUACUUUCAGAGCUGGAGAGGGCCGCAGAGACCAGGUGGCUGCGACUGUUUAUUAAAAACACAGCACUCUGCAAAUUCGUAAGAAGACGUAUAGGGUGUGACGCCUGCCCGGUGCCGGA
rnacentral:rRNA from 2 species